rnacentral:rRNA from 1 species
GAUGAACGCUGGCGGCGUGCCUAAUACAUGCAAGUCGAGCGAACAGACGAGGAGCUUGCUCCUCUGACGUUAGCGGCGGACGGGUGAGUAACACGUGGAUAACCUACCUAUAAGACUGGGAUAACUUCGGGAAACCGGAGCUAAUACCGGAUAAUAUAUUGAACCGCAUGGUUCAAUAGUGAAAGACGGUUUUGCUGUCACUUAUAGAUGGAUCCGCGCCGCAUUAGCUAGUUGGUAAGGUAACGGCUUACCAAGGCAACGAUGCGUAGCCGACCUGAGAGGGUGAUCGGCCACACUGGAACUGAGACACGGUCCAGACUCCUACGGGAGGCAGCAGUAGGGAAUCUUCCACAAUGGGCGAAAGCCUGACGGAGCAACGCCGCGUGAAUGAUGAAGGUCUUCGGAUCGUAAAACUCUGUUAUUAGGGAAGAACAAAUGUGUAAGUAACUAUGCACGUCUUGACGGUACCUAAUCAGAAAGCCACGGCUAACUACGUG